rnacentral:sRNA from 2 species
CCCUAGCCCUGAUAGUAGCGGCAUCCUUUUGUUUUUUUCUUUAAAAAACAAAAGAUAUAGCGGAUAGCAGGAUUAGCU